rnacentral:lncRNA from 1 species
AUUGAGUUUUUAAAAAAAUUCUUAAAAGUUCUAACAACUUCAUGAAAAAAAGAGAUCAAAAUUUUUAUUUUUAGUUUUUUAGACUAAUGACUGGUAUCAUUUCCAGUUUUUCAACCUAAGGAAAUAAAUAAAUAGAGUACUUUUGCACCUGGCUCUCUGCUAGAUGAAAGAAAAAUCAAACAUAACAAGGAAAGUUUGCUGUAGCAAGAGAGACUUGAAGCCAAGGCUGUGUACCAAUUUAUGGUUGGAAUGAAGGGAUUUGGGGGCUACAAAGAAGAGAAGAAUAUUAUUGCUUGAGUGGCUCAGAUGUGAGAAGUGGCUUUUUGGAGAAGGUGACCUGGUUGCUGAGCAGCGGUAGAGGGUGUGCCAAAGUGAGCAAAAUCACACAGCCAUUAGUUGCAAAGACAUAUUUAUGGGUCACUAUUACUGCAGUAUGAGUUGAAGUCGUGUGUGUGUGUGUGUGUGUGUGUGUGUGUGUGUUCAGUGUCACAUGCUCUGUUUUGGCCUCAGGUAGUUCAUGCUCUGCAUUGUCAUCUGCAGAGGGAAGAUUGGAUGAACAGAACAGGUUUUUGAGGCCAGCCGUCCAUGAAACCCAAGUUGCUUAGUGGGGAAGACUCAUAAAUUCUAGUAUGAGUGUGAAGAUGAGCAGAAGGACAUGGUGCUUUGGAUUUAUAGAAACUCAGGAGCAUUUCUGGGGAACGCAUGCCUUCUUACCUGGUCACCUGGUGUCAUCUAUUAUUCCAAGGUUAUAGUUGAGGUCUAAAGUCCUCUUGGGGAUUGACCAAGGUCACACCGCUUCCUCCUGGAUGAUGUUAGCAAUGAGCACCAGCUGAGUCUGCAGAAGCAGAGGUGCUAAUCCUGCUUUCCCCACAGAUGCACCAACAAUUUACAAGUGAAAUGGAGACUGGAGGAAACAAUUCAUGUGAGUAAAGGAAUAUUUUUAAUAAUUUUAUGCUAAUGAUCUGGAGGAAUCAGGCAAAGUUUUUCAUAUAGUUUGAAUUAUCUUGGUAGGAGUUUAAAUUCUACUUAAUUUUGCAUGUUUCAUCUGAUUAGGGUAUAAAAUCUAAGUAAAUA